GCAGGUGAUUUCCUGGCAGGGUGAUGGUGCCUCUGCUCUCUCCCGCAGAGCUUGCCCCAGAUCUGCGGUGUGGCCGAAGGGCAGGCGUUCGCCUCUGCUCUGCAGCAGCUCUACACAGCAGUGACGCAGCAGGAGGCCAAGCAGUCUCGGAAACGGCAGCGCUCAGAGCUCCCCCACCCAGGCACCAUUCCUGGUGUGGGUUUGGGCAAUGCCCCGUGCUCCCUCAUCUCAAUCCCAAAUUGCAUCUCUUUCUGCUGGUACCAGAGGACACUGAGGGCCCAACAACUGCUGCAGAAACCACAGGGCACCCCCAUCCACCACCUCCAUCCCAGGAGGAUGAAACAGCAUCUUCCAGUGAGGGAACCACGCCGGCCUCCUCCCCAGCUCAGAAGCUCCGGCUGCCUGUGGCCAAGGCCAAGCCAAAGAAGGCAAAGGGGCUCUUCAGCUGAAAGGUCACUGCUACCUACCCCAAGGGUCUCUGCUCCCCCCAGCAUCCAAGAGAGGCAGUGCAGAGCACCCACGCGUCCUCUGCCUCCUCUCCUGCAUCUCCUAGCGGACCCUGCCCAGGUCAUGGUCCCCUCCCAAGGUGUCUCCAGCCAGGGAGAUGGGGCAUCUCCUUUCUUCAAUGGUGUCUCAGGAACCUCUUUUCUCCCUCUUCCUGGUGCAGAGGUUGCCCAGGCUGCCUCAUGGUGGAGCCAGUGCUGCACCCGGGGGGAAUGGGAGGGAUGCUGCCGGGUGGGUGUGGGACAGCUGGGGCUCUGGCAGGGCUGUGGGGUUUGGCUGCUCUUGUGUGGGUUUGCAAUAAAGGGCUGUGUCUGAGUGAG
rnacentral:lncRNA from 1 species